AUGGCGGGGAUUUCUUACGUAUCACUAACAGUUGGAUGCAGAACAUCUCUCCACUACAUGGCUUCGUCUUCACAGACGAAAAAGGAAUAAAUUCUUAAACCCCUUUCCUUCUAUGCUGUCGCGUGGUGACUCGGGAAGCAAGUCGUGGUGUGUGGGAGAGCAAGUGGGGGAGGAAGUAAUAUGAAGCAUUACUCACAAAGUUGUGAUUCUUGGGGACUCAUUUCCGGGAUAAGUGCAAUUCAAACCAUGCCACAAGUAGGCUACAGGGGCACAUGGAUCACCUUGCCAAUCUCUUGUCACCCCAUAAACUGACUUGAUGGUGGUAAUUGCAUCAACUAUUUAUUCAAAGCAAAAAAAAAGGUAAAAAGGUGGCUAAGAUCAUAUACAAUUGUGUAAACCAAUGAAAUGGUAUGACAAAUCAUAUUUUGGUGGAUUACCAUCUCCUUGGAGAGUAUCUGCUUGCUGGAAGUCUUUUACUCUAUAAAUUUCAAUGGCACUGAUGAUAGGAGGCAGGGUUGAGCUUUUGGUCCUCUCGAAGGAAUAUUUAAUUUCUUUUCCACUGAUAGCUGACUGGCUGUAUAUAGUGAAUGCACUAAGGUACGGUGGAGAAAAAUUUCGAUACCAUGGCUUUCCGUUCUCUGUGAUUGUGAAUUUUCUUGUCUGAUUCUUUGCUAACUCUUCAAACUCGGUGAAGUGCAUGUAAACAUAGAAUUGAUCAGUUUCAGCUAGUGGCUCCCAGCUUAUUACCAAUGGAGCACUACCAUUUGCUGGUGUAACUGCGGUGCUCAAGACCACAGCUGGCGGUUGGUAAUCGUUCUGGAUUAUAGACAUAGCUGGAAUCAAAGUAUUUAGUUGUGUCCAAUCUUGCUUGAAGUCACAGGAGCUGUUUGAACCUAAAUCGCACCGCCAGUAACGUUGCAGUGAUCCAAAUUCAGUGACGUAUGUAUCAUUUUGCAAAGUCCUCAAUUCUAUGGCUGAUAUAAAUGGUGUCCCAUCGCCUGUGUCA